rnacentral:rRNA from 1 species
AACGAACGCUGGCGGCAUGCCUAACACAUGCGAGUCGAACGAGACCUUCGGGUCUAGUGGCGCACGGGUGCGUAACGCGUGGGAACCUGCCCUUAGGUUCGGAAUAACUCAGAGAAAUUUGAGCUAAUACCGGAUAAUGUCUUCGGACCAAAGAUUUAUCGCCUUUGGAUGGGCCCGCGUAGGAUUAGCUUGUUGGUGGGGUAAUGGCCUACCAAGGCGACGAUCCUUAGCUGGUCUGAGAGGAUGAUCAGCCACACUGGGACUGAGACACGGCCCAGACUCCUACGGGAGGCAGCAGUGGGGAAUAUUGGACAAUGGGCGAAAGCCUGAUCCAGCAAUGCCGCGUGAGUGAUGAAGGCCUUAGGGUUGUAAAGCUCUUUUACCAGGGAUGAUAAUGACAGUACCUGGAGAAUAAGCUCCGGCUAACUCCGUG